CGGAGGAAAAGAAACUAACAAGGAUUCCCCUAGUAACGGCGAGUGAAGCGGGAAGAGCUCAAAUUUGUAAUCUGGCCCUUUCAGGGUCCGAGUUGUAAUCUCGAGAAGUGUUUUCCGCGCCGGACCGCAUACAAGUCUGUUGGAAUACAGCGUCAUAGUGGUGAGAGCCCCGUAAUUGAUGUGGAUGCCCGGUGCUUUGUGAUACACUUUCGAAGAGUCGAGUUGUUUGGGAAUGCAGCUCAAAUUGGGUGGUAAAUUCCAUCUAAAGCUAAAUAUUGGCGAGAGACCGAUAGCGAACAAGUACCGUGAGGGAAAGAUGAAAAGCACUUUGGAAAGAGAGUUAACAGUACGUGAAAUUGUUGGAAGGGAAACGCUUGAAGUCAGACUUGCUAUUCGGAAUUCAGCCGCAAGGUGUACUUUUCGAUUUGCAGGCCAGCAUCAGUUUUUGGGGGUGGAAAAGGGUGGAGAGAAGGUAGCAACCUUGGUUGUGUUAUAGCUCUUUACUGGAUUCAUCUUUGGGGACUGAGGAUCGCAGUGCGCAAUUUACUUUGCAAACCUUUCGAGGUUUUCGUACUUAGGAUGCUGGUGGAAUGGCUUUAAACGACCCGUCUU
rnacentral:rRNA from 1 species